UACUAAAUUAUGCAUUGGUCUUUAAUUGUUGAAUAAAAUGGACUUAUUGAUGCGAUUAAGGCAUUAUUAUAACAUAUUGAUGCACUAGUAAUGUUGUAUGAUGAUAAUUCCUCCUUGUAUGAGACACUGACUGACUCUCAGAUUCAUAGAGCACAUGUUUAAACGCAGUAUGAUCUUCAGGGGUAAAGAACAGUUUUCAGGCGUUGAGUUCCGGCCAGACUCAUAUCUUGGAAACAGAAGCUCCAGGCCUGAGGUAAGAUAUUGAGCUGCAGAGUCAGAACAACGCCCGAGAGUGGCAAUAACGCUAAUGUGAUAAAAGAAAGUGGUUUUCUGAAUAUAGGUGGGUUGGAAGCAAUAGCCAGAAAUAUCUAUUUUCAGACCUGGGCUAAAAUGAAAGAGUUAUGGAAAGCGAAACCUGUGCCAGACUUGUUCUUCUCAGAGAAACUUUAGUCUGACUCUGAGUUUCAUGCUCUGAAUGUAGGCUGAGGUUUUGAUCAGAUGUCUGUUAAUAGAUUAUAUGACGGCGUAUGAAUUAUGAAAAGCAGAAAUGGCAAAAAAUGUUUUGCGUUUGACACGUCUGUCAUUAAUCAAGUAAUGGCUUUGUUCCUGUUUGCAAAAAAUAAAAAAUGUAGCCAUUAAUAAAACAAAUGACUUCAGCUUUCAUUUUAUUACCCAUCGUUUUAUAUUAAAGUUUUUUUUUUUUUUUCUGUGGAAUUGGGUGGAAAAGAAGAGAGUUUUUCUAAGCCACGUGCAGGGCAGAUUGAUGUCAUUGUCUCGGCACACUGACCUUUGCUGUAGUACCCACGGCAGACAUCACAAACUCUCACAUCAAUUUAGCCCAAUUGGAUGUGGCAUGUCUUGGCUAACUCGAUUUGUGCAGAAAUGCACCUGUCUCUGCCUUCUCUCCCUAUAGAUUUGCUCUGGGGGAGGAGGGGGAGCUUCUCUCUCUCUCUCUCUCUCUCUCUCUCUCUCUCUCUCUCUCUCUCUCUCUCUCUCUCUCUCUCUCUCUCUCUCUCUCUCUCUCUCUCUCUCUCUGCAGAUGCAGCCUCUUUGCAGCAGGCCUGGUGUGCCUUCCAAGGUCUGGGCAGAAUGUCUCCAAGCACCAGAAGGAGAGGCCAUUAGCCGCACACUAAUCACAUUACUGCACGUUAAAGGGGGAAGUGAAGGCAAGCAGGGAGGAGGGAGAGGAAGGGAGAAAAGUUUAAGGUGUUAUUAAGCGUUCUGCAAACGUCUGCUCAGACACCAGCCGUUCCCAUGCCUCCCUUCAGCCUCUGUCCCUUUCCAUCAUCUCUUCAUCCUCCUCUCCACGAGCUGUGUCUCCUCGAGUUCCCUGGGAAAGAUGUAUUGAUAAUUUCCUGCAAAAAUAUGAUUCCAGUUUAUUCUACAGAGAAAAAUCCAAUAGCGCAGCCUCCAAUUGGAUUGGGUUUUUCAGUGGAGUGGAGAACAAUAGAGAGAGAGAAGAGACCUGGCCCCAGACAUUCUACAUGAGAUUAUUGUUAAACAGAGACCUGAUAGAAUUACAGUGGUACAAUAGAUGAUAAUUGCAUCACAACAUGAUUUCUCUUUGCCGUACAACAGCGCAUAUUCAUCUACCUUAUCCUUCAGUGAUGUGGCGUGAGGGCGGCGAGGCUGGGCCAGAAGGAAGGUGAAGACAGCGAGGCCAUGAGAUGGAGUUAUAGAUAGGCGGCUCGAGAGAAAGGAAGAAUAUAGCUCAACCAUACUAGUGCAUAGUGACGCACAACGACAGGGAGCUGUUAUUGUUGUAUAAUAACUAUAGAUUAUUCAGACUUCAAAAAAUCUAUUUAAUGUCAAUAGACAAUAUACUGUACAACAGCACACAUGAUUGAAUGAGGUCUGAAUCAGGGCUUUUAGAUUGUUGACAUGCGAUUUUCAAUGGUUGAUUUGUUCAGUUAUUAUAUUUGGUAACCUUUAGUUCUGAAUAUGAGGUUUCAUAGUUAUUCAGAAUAAUCCAAUACUGAUUUGUUGUUGUUGUUGUUGUUGCUUUACUUUGUUUACUGUACGAUACAUUAUAUUUAAACAGAACUGAACAGUUGGAUAUAUGUUAAAUCCAACUUUAUUUGCAUGCAUACAGUAUAUGUAAAGGGAUAUAUAGGGACUAUAGAGCAAAUCUCAACUGCUUGAUUACUUGUAUGGUCACCAGUGUUGGCGGUAACACAUCACAAGUAUGUAAUCAGAUUACUUUUUUCAAGUAACUAGUAAAUGAACACAUUACUUUUGAAUUUACAACAUAAUGUCUGAGUUACUUUUCCAAAUAAGUAAUGGAAGUUACUUUGUUUUCCCAUGUAUUGACAGACAGCUCGUGUUGAGAGAAUCGUCGUGUGUGAACAUGAUGGGUAUUGUAGUUCUAGACUAAAUGUGAGCAUUGACUCACUUGCAAAAAAACAGAUUCAAUAUUCCUCAAAAUGAAUAAAAACAGUCAAAUGCAAACUCAGAAUAUUAUGCAAACCUGCAAUGAUUAAAUAUGUUAAAUUACACAAAUAUACUUUAUGUAUUUAAUCUCACUUUAUUAGCACUUUAUUAACACUCUGUCUUUUGACCUUCUGUGACCUUCCAUUUCAACCAUACUAAAGAGCAAAAAUGACUUAGAUAACAUUACAUUUGUGUUUUUGUUGCUGAAGUAAGAGUGUUAAACGUUCUUUUUCUGCGAUCAAGAAUAGCAGCACAGCUGAAAGGCUUGUUUGUUUGAGCUGCGCCCUCUACUGUACAGGAGUGAAUUUGGAGGCUUAUUCAUUUCACUGUUGGUGUGAACGGGCCUUUACAUUUACCAACAAUAGAACUUUAGGGUUUUUUCAUAUUAAAAAACAAACAAACAAGCUCAGCCCAGCUGAGAAAAUGUAACGCAAAAGUAACGUAACAUUACUUUACAUAAAAAGUAACUAAGUAAUGCAUAUAGUUACUUUUUUAGAGAGUAACAAUAGAAAGUAACUUUCCCCAACACUGAGAGCCGUCCACAUGGAGACGUGUUUAGCCGUAUACGCAAACUUUUUGAAUCUUAUCGGCGUUUCGUCCAGACGAUCUGGCAUUUCGGGAGCCUGAAACUGCUAUUUUUUUAAAUCGGAUCCCAGAGUGGAUGAAUCUAAAAACGACAACAUUGCGUUUUCAUGUGUACAGCCAAUCCGUAUAUUUUGUGAAAUGAUGUCAUCACCCCACAUGUCGACCCUAGUCAGACACGCUACCUCACGGAAAAACAACAACAACAACAACAACAGCGGACUACAUGCUUGUGUUUGUGCCGCAGAAGAUACUGAGCCUAUUAGCUUUACUAAAAUAAAGCUUUAUUACUAAAGUUUGUAUACAGUGCGAAGAUUUAUGAUGCUCUUCUUCUCCAUUUUUAGUGUAUCUCUGUGGCAGAAUUACAGCGCCACAUGCUGGUCUGGCAUGUAUACUACAUCGUUUUUGAGGCGGUUUCAGUGGUUUUGUGUGUACGCAGAUAUUUCUUGAGAUGACGCCGUGUUUACGUUUUUUUUUUAGGUUUUUUUUUUAGACCAAUUGAAAAAAAAGAUCGGAUAGGGAAAGCUCUGGCUUCAUGUGGAUGCGGCCUUGAUUGUAAACUAUAUUUUUGUUAAAUGCGACUAUCAGCCAUGAAGAUAUUUUAUAAAGAUAAGUUAUAAACAUUAACAUCAUGUUUUUCUGUAAACUGUUUUAAAACCAUGUGUAUUGUGAAAAGUGCUAUACAAAUAAAUCUGACUUGAUUACUU